rnacentral:rRNA from 1 species
AGUGAACGCUGGCGGUAGGCCUAACACAUGCAAGUCGUACGGCAGCACAGUAAGAGCUUUCUCUUACUGGUGGCGAGUGGCGUACGGGUUAGGAAUACAUCGGAAUCUACUUUUUCGUGGGUGAUAACGUAGGGAAACUUACGCUAAUACCGCAUACGACCUACGUGUGAAAUCAUAGGAUCUUCGGACCUUGCACGAUUGAAUGACCCGAUGUCGGAUUAGCUAGUUGGCGGGGUAAAGGCCCACCAACGCGACGAUCCGUAGCUGGUCUGAGAGGAGGAAGAGCGACACUGGAACUGAGACACGGUAUAGACUCCUACGGGAGGCAGAAGUGGGGAAUAUUGGAAAAUGGGCGCAAUACUGAUCAAGCCAUACCGGGUGGGUGAAGAAGGGCUUCGGGUUGUAAAGCCCUUUUGUUGGGAAAGAAAAGCAGCAGGUUAAUACAAGGCUGUUCUGACGGUACCCAAAGAAUAAGCACCGGCUAACUUCGUG